UCAUCAAAUUCAUUGGUUUUUGUAUGAAAAAUAAAAAAUCAUGUGAGUUUAAUGAAAGUAUUCAAGAGUUUUAUUGACUAAAAACGAAAGAAAGGAUCUUAUGUAGAAUUCAUUGAUAAGUUAAGAUGUAAUUGGGAUGAAAAAUAGCUUAAAGAUCUAAUUGAGACCUGUCUUAAAGAUUGGGGGGGACUUUCUUGAGGUUUGCCUUCUAUUUUAUCCAUAGAAAUCUAGAAGAAGCUAAUAAAUCGAACCUUAAAAAGGAAGAGAGAAAGUCAGAGAAAUUCAUUUCUUCUGAAUCAAGACACUCGUCUCUGUGAGAGAGAGAGGGAUGAGAAAUGGGUGACAAUCGGUGGAUAAUAACAAAGCAAAGAAGGAUAGAUUUGUUCAGAAGAAGAAAUGCUGGUGACCUGUUUGACGAGGAUAUCGAUUAUCUGUUGUGAUGGCAUUUUCGGAGCUCAAAAUAGUUUGCACAAUAAUUUCACUGGGAUUAUAUCUUUGAUAUGCUACUCUGGCUGGUGUGUUUCUGGAUAUGUUUGAAAAAAUUACCAAUCUCAGAGAGUCUCACCAAGAUCUUUAUGUGUUUGCAAUCUUGCUGCAUGUUGCAGCAAAGUUCAGAAUGAACAGGAUUGAGGCAAAUACUUACAACUGUUGCCAUCGCAAGCAGAAGCUGUAAGGACUUUUCUGGCCAGAAGGCGUGAAGAAAGCACCGUUGAGCAUCAUGUCUCCAUCUGAUCUCCAGUUCCAGCUCUUCCACUCCUCAAAUCCAGUCAAGCUUUCAUGCCAAGUCACCUGAAUGUGAAGUGAACUUUUAGGAACAAAAGGAGGAUGUCUAGAGAAUGUUAUAGUGGCAUGUGAGAUCAGGACCAGGAAGAAGAGGGAAAAUGUCGGCAUCUUACGUGUAGUCGAGGGAUUGAUGUCUGUUUUAGGAGCUACUACACUACGAUAGCGGUUCGAAGAUUUAGAUUUAUAUAGCUAGCAAUCACAGCAUUUUUUUUUGGAUUGUUGCUUCCAGCAAAAUUAACAAAUACCGCGGUGGAGAUUAAAUGACACCGGAAAAGUUGGUUUCCAAUCAUGCCGACAAGUAAUAAAUGAAAAGAUUGUUCUAAAGAAA